AAUAUAUGUGUUUAAUUAUGACUGAAGCCAAAGAAGUACUCAUCUUCAAAUCAUGGAUUGUUUGAACUCCUAAGAAACCAAAAACAAAUUAAACAUCCUUAUCAGUAGGAAGACUUAAAGCUGAAGAUUGGCCCACAAGGGUGAGCAAUAUUUUUGGCUGAUAUAUGUAUGUAGUGCGACUAGUGACAACACUGGCCUAUAAUUCACCAAUUUUCUCUAUCGUGCUCGCCCAGCAGCCUCCAAAAGAGAAAGUCCAAAAGGAAACAAUGACAGGUCCAAUCGCAAUCACUUGCCUUCCCCCAUUUAGUGUCUGAUUCAUUGUCGAGAAGUUUGAUUUUACUCGAGACUUGUUGUUUGUUUGUCAAUUUUACAUAUAUAUAAUCAAUAAUUAUGCAACUAUGCAAAAGCCGUGUGGUAUGGAAGUUGAUAGUACAACGCUGUGGCCACGUCGCCCUUCGCAUCAUAAUCCAAAAUUAAUCAAUAAAAGGAAACAACCGCCAGGUCCUGAUCAUCUCUUCUGUCUCCAUUUGCAAGUUGGAGGUGGAAAAGAAUUAUUGAACUUUAGGUAAAGAAAAUAAGAAAUCCACCAUUGAUGCUGUCUUCAUGAAAUGAAAUGAAAUGAAAGAGAAGCUGCCUGCCAUAGGGGUCAGGUGUGAACACUCUAGCUGCCCUAAUAAAACUCCUGUCCUCAAUAAUUUCAGAGGUUGAAAGAUUAUUCAGCGCAAUGUCGUGGACAUUUCGGUUUUUUCCCUUUUGAAAGUGACAUGCUGGACAGAAAGUCGUGAGAAAAAUCGUCCACCAUUUGGUUCUUUCUCAGAAGCAGCAUUCUGAGCGAGCAAGACUGAAUGGAAGGAAGGCAUAUGUGAUGAUGAUGAUGGGAUUCAUCUUGCUUUAUGACAAAGGACUAAAUUGGACUUAUUUUGCUAGGAAUCUUUCGAAUUAAUGUUGUUUCACAACUAUAUACAUACGUACAAGCCAUGUAUGCAAUCAAUUACAUAAACAAAUCUAUACUUUCACCUACAAUAACAUGCAUGGUUAUUGCCUAGCUGCUCAUGAGCCAAAUUA
rnacentral:lncRNA from 1 species